rnacentral:rRNA from 1 species
UUUCUGUCAAGGACAACUGGUCCGCCCUCCGGGUGAGCACACAGCUUGGUCUUGGCAUCUUGCUGGAACCUGUGCUGUGCUUGGCUGUAUGGCACAGGGCUCAGCACUUUCACUUUGAGGAAAUUGGAGUGUUUCAAGCAGGCACAUGCCUUUGGACACAGUAGCAUGGAAUAAUUAGAUUGGGCCUUUGCUCCAUCUUGUCGGUUUAUGGAGCUGAGGUGAGAAUUAAUGGGGAUUGUUGGGGGCAUCCGUAUUUAGCC